GGGCCGCUAGCUCAACGGUAGAGCAACUCCCUCUUAAGGAGUUGGUUCCGAGUUCGAGUCUCGGGCGGCUCA
rfam:Candidatus Roizmanbacteria bacterium RIFCSPLOWO2_02_FTLL_43_10 rifcsplowo2_02_scaffold_4336, whole genome shotgun sequence.